rnacentral:rRNA from 1 species
GACGAACGCUGGCGGCGUGCCUAAUACAUGCAAGUUGAGCGCUGAAGGUUGGUACUUGUACCAACUGGAUGAGCAGCGAACGGGUGAGUAACGCGUGGGGAAUCUGCCUUUGAGCGGGGGACAACAUUUGGAAACGAAUGCUAAUACCGCAUAAAAACUUUAAACACAAGUUUUAAGUUUGAAAGAUGCAAUUGCAUCACUCAAAGAUGAUCCCGCGUUGUAUUAGCUAGUUGGUGAGGUAAAGGCUCACCAAGGCGAUGAUACAUAGCCGACCUGAGAGGGUGAUCGGCCACAUUGGGACUGAGACACGGCCCAAACUCCUACGGGAGGCAGCAGUAGGGAAUCUUCGGCAAUGGACGAAAGUCUGACCGAGCAACGCCGCGUGAGUGAAGAAGGUUGUCGGAUCGUAAAACUCUGUUGGUAGAGAAGAACGUUGGUGGGAGUGGAAAGCUCAUCAAGUGACGGUAACUACCCAGAAAGGGACGGCUAACUACGUG